rnacentral:rRNA from 1 species
GAUGAACGCUGGCGGCGUGCCUAAUACAUGCAAGUCGAGCGAAUGGAUUAAGAGCUUGCUCCUAUGAAGUUAGCGGCGGACGGGUGAGUAACACGUGGGUAACCUGCCCAUAAGACUGGGAUAACUCCGGGAAACCGGGGCUAAUACCGGAUAACAUUUUGAACCGCAUGGGUCGACAUUGAAAGGCGGCUUCGGCUGUCACUGAUGGAUGGACCCGCGUCGCAUUAGCUAGUUGGUGAGGGAACGGCUCACCAAGGCAACGAUGCGUAGCCGACCUGAGAGGGUGAUCGGCCACACUGGGACUGAGACACGGCCCAGACUCCUACGGGAGGCAGCAGUAGGGAAUCUUCCGCAAUGGACGAAAGUCUGACGGAGCAACGCCGCGUGAGUGAUGAAGGCUUUCGGGUCGUAAAACUCUGUUGUUAGGGAAGAACAAGUGCUAGUUGAAUAAGCUGGCACCUUGACGGUACCUAACCAGAAAGCCACGGCUAACUACGUGCCAGCAGCCGCAGUAA